rnacentral:rRNA from 1 species
GCGGAGGGAUCAUUACCGAGUGAGGGCCUCCGGGCUCGACCUCCAACCCUUUGUGAACACAACUUGUUGCUUCGGGGGCGACCCUGCCGUUUCGACGGCGAGCGCCCCCGGAGGCCUUCAAACCCUGCAUCUUUGCGUCGGAGUUUAAGUAAAUUAAACAAAACUUUCAACAACGGAUCUCUUGGUUCUGGCAUCGAUGAAGAACGCAGCGAAAUGCGAUAAGUAAUGUGAAUUGCAGAAUUCAGUGAAUCAUCGAAUCUUUGAACGCACAUUGCGCCCUUUGGUAUUCCGAAGGGCAUGCCUGUUCGAGCGUCAUUUCACCACUCAAGCCUGGCUUGGUAUUGGGCGCCGCGGUCGCUGAUCCGCGCGCCUCAAAGUGUCCGGCAGAGCUGUCCGUCUCUAAGCGUUGUGAUUUCAUUAAUCGCUUUGGAGUGCGGGCGGCCGCGGCCGUUAAAUCUUCCACAAGGUUGACCUCGGAUCAGGUAGGGAUACCCGCUG